CUCACUCCAGCCAGAAACCUAUGUGCUUCCUCUGUGCCCCCAUGGCCCUGGUUCAGACCAUCCUGGGGGCCACUUCACAUCUCGUCUGCGCCACCCAGAGCAGCGUCCUCCUACUCACCCUGCAAUGCCCACCAACCUCAUGCCCACAGCAGGGCCAGUUGCGUCAGGUUCAAUAGAGAGGCUAUGAGCAGAAUGGGGUGAAUUCUUAGAGAACCUCACAAAAGGAGACGCAGAGGGCGGGAUGAGGAGUGUAAAACCAGCUACUCUCCACCCCUGCCCACCUCCUGUGGUAAAGUGCAGGUUCACCCACUGGUUAUGGCAUAAGGCAGCAUGUUCCAUGGGUUCUGGCGGGGCAGGGAAAGAGCCUGCAUUUUCAAGCACGUGCCAUAUGCCAGGCACAUGCUUAGCUUUUGCUAUCCAUGAUCUCAUCUCGACUUCACUCCAACUCCUGCUCCCCGACCAAGCCUGGCUCCUUUUCCCUAAUGAGGACUCAGCAUUACGUCCCCACUUCACAGAUGAAGAAAUCUCAGAGAAGUUAAGUAACUUUGCUCAGGUUGCACAGAUGGCAAAGUGAGGAGCUGUCCUGGCUGGUAUGAAGAUGAGUGCGUGUGUGCCCUGAGCAUGCCCUUAUCGGGGACUGGAAGAAGAAGACGAUCGGGGAUGUCAGAAGGAAACAAGAAUGUGUUGAGAGUGUGCAAUUCAA